GGGUUGUGAGGUUAAGCGACUAAGCGUACACGGUGGAUGCCCUGGCAGUCAGAGGCGAUGAAGGACGUGCUAAUCUGCGAUAAGCGCCGGUAAGGUGAUAUGAACCGUUAUAACCGGCGAUUUCCGAAUGGGGAAACCCAGUGUGACUCGUCACACUAUCAUUAACUGAAUCCAUAGGUUAAUGAGGCGAACCGGGGGAACUGAAACAUCUAAGUACCCCGAGGAAAAGAAAUCAACCGAGAUUCCCCCAGUAGCGGCGAGCGAACGGGGAGGAGCCCAGAGCCUGAAUCAGCAGUGUGUUAGUGGAAGCGUCUGGAAAGGCGCGCGAUACAGGGUGACAGCCCCGUACACAAAAGCGCAUGUGCUGUGAGCUCGAUGAGUAGGGCGGGACACGUGGUAUCCUGUCUGAAUAUGGGGGGACCAUCCUCCAAGGCUAAAUACUCCUGACUGACCGAUAGUGAACCAGUACCGUGAGGGAAAGGCGAAAAGAACCCCGGCGAGGGGAGUGAAAAAGAACCUGAAACCGUGUACGUACAAGCAGUGGGAGCCCCACCACUAAGCCAGUGGUGAACUCCACAUACGCAUCCUUUGCUGAGGAUACGGUUAACGGAGCGCAAGCGACGUUCAACCUCAAAAGAAGCAGAGGGGGCUUAGUGGUGG
rnacentral:rRNA from 1 species